AGUGGCCAAAAUGUGCAAAAAACAAAGGAGACCAAAGUGGUACAAUAAGGGCAAGAGGUAAAGUUUCAUGGACUGCCAGCUCAAUGGAAGAUACCCUUAAUUAUCAAGAAGUUCAAACAUACACCAAGAAGCAUAAGGCUUUAUGGCCAAGUGAAUAAAUGGCUGAAAUUCUUAAUGAGCUAGAGGAGACAGCAUCAAUUCCUUGCCUAACACCCUUUGCACCCUAUUUGAUUAACGAUGAUAGUCAUGUUAUCAAGAACAAAAGGGGUUGAACAAAGUGUCUUAAGACUCAUGGUUUGAGUCAUGAAGAUCGCAUCAAGUUACACAAAAUAUUCUUGGCCAACAUAUUGGUCAAUAUAGGGCUGCCUUGAGCUCUUAUUUGGGAACAUUGGCUAGGAAUGCACACAUGGCUCCUUUGACAUAACAACUUGGAGAGAGUUGAAAGAUAAUUGGAAGGAUAUGUGGCAAAUAGUCAAGGAACGUAGUGAGAAGAAUAAAAUUAACAAAGCAAAGUAUACAUUUUUCCAUACCAUUGGAUCAAAAACUUCUGUAGAAAUUCGUGAAGAAGAGAGGAUGAAGAAUGUUGAUAUUAAAGAGACCUCCCGUGUAGAAAUGUUCCUUUUGACACAUAAGCCAAAGGAUGGAAAUAAGACAAAGGAUGGAACAAGUAGAAUUGUUUCAGAGCUUGAGAAGGCCAUUACUUUACACCCUGAAGUAGAGGAAAGCACAACUCAGGAUGAUUUAUUUUCCCAAGUCUUGGGUAAAGAGAGACCUGACUUUGUACGCAUAUAUGGAAAAGGGGUUGCACCUACAGAUUUAUGGGGAACUAAGUCUACAAUUGAAAUCCAGAAAAUAAUAGAUGAAGUAAAGAGGAAUGCUAGAGUAGAGAUGCAAGAGGAGAUGCAAGUAAAAUUAUAAGAACAAGUGGAAGCCAUCAAAACUGAAAUGUUUACUGGUUUUAAAACAUUUUUGGCUCAGUUGUAGACAUGCUUUCCAACAGUAGCAAUUCCAGAAUUUUCUAGCAUGUGGAAUCCAAAUAUAAAUGAAAGAGAUAUGAAUGACAAAAUUAACUCUCAUAGGAAGAAAAAGCGGAAGGAGGAAAAAGCUCAAAGGAAGCAUGUUGAAAGUAAAUCAAAAGAAUCUAAAGCAAAGAAGGCCAAAGUUUUAAAAGAUUUAAAUGUGCCCGAGCAUUCUCCCACUAUGUCUCCCAAUAUGGUAUUCACAAACUAGUGGAUCCAAGCCUUGAAGAAAGUUAUCCAAUUGAAUCAGUUAUGAAGACAUUGAAUGAGUUGAAAACAAAGACACCACAAAAGGGAAAUUUUAGUGGUGCUAAGCUCAAGAAAAGUGGGAAAAAAUAAGAACUUUGUCAUGGUUGUAUACAUUGCUUGUAUUUGCAAUUGGUUAAGAACAUAUUUUCUUAUUGUUGCAGACUUUUUUUCUUAUUGUCACAUACUUUAUUGUUAAUGCCUAACAAGUGAUGAUGCUACUGCAAUUAGGUACUUGUUUGUAGCAUUUUAUAUAGCAUUUUAUGGGACAAUUUAUAGAGUCGAUAUUUGAUUUGAGUGGAUACAGUAUUCAGAAA